rnacentral:rRNA from 1 species
CACGAAACCAGGUGAGCUACUAUGGGACGUAUAAUAGUACAAAGUAUGUAGCACAAUAAUAAUAGACCUCAUAGUAGGGGUGAUAGGCCCCCAAACUUGGUGAUAUCUUGUUAACCUCGAAGGGCAUUGAGUACAUUAUUAGUUUACUAGUGAUAAGGCUGGUAAAACUUAUUUAAUAUGAUUUCCCUUAAGAACAUUGUUUAAUCGCUGGUUCUCUAGUUAAGUUAAUAUUUAUGUUUUAUAUUAAUAGAUAAUAGAGGUUAGUACUAAAUAAUAACGGGUAUUUAUAAUGUCGGUAUUAGUAAAUAAGGUGUCGUUACUGAACUCGGCAACAUUUCCUUCACCUGUUUAUCAAAAACAUCGCCAGUAGGAGGUAUUACUGGUUAAUUCUGCUCCAUGUACUAUAAAUAGCCGCAGUACCCUGACUGUGCAAAGGUAGCAUAAUCAUUUGGCUUAUAAUUGAAGUCUAGUAUGAAAGAAUACAUGGGGGAAAGCUUUAUUGGUGACAUAACUGGAAUUUACUAAGUGGGUGCAAAUUCCCACUGAUAAAUAAUAGACGAGAAGACCCUUGAAAUUUUAACAACACGUCCACUAUAAGUUUUUGUUGGGGCAACAUGGUAGCACUUAACCUACAAUAAUUACACGACAUGAUGUAGUCAGUUUAAAUUACUCUAGGGAUAACAGCGUAAUUCUGUGUGAGUUUGCGACCUCGAUGUUGGACUAGGAAGCAGAUGCUUAGAA